rnacentral:rRNA from 1 species
AGAUUGAACGCUGGCGGCAUGCCUUACACGUGCAAGUCGAACGGCAGCACGGGAGCAAUCCUGGUGGCGAGUGGCGAACGGGUGAGUAAUAUAUCGGAACGUGCCCAGUCGUGGGGGAUAACGCAGCGAAAGCUGUGCUAAUACCGCAUACGAUCUAUGGAUGAAAGCGGGGGAUCGCAAGACCUCGCGCGAUUGGAGCGGCCGAUAUCAGAUUAGCUAGUUGGUGGGGUAAAAGCCUACCAAGGCGACGAUCUGUAGCUGGUCUGAGAGGGCACCGAG